UUGUCUUUCAUAUUACACCUUCAACCACUUUCUAUUCAAAGACCAGUUACCAAAUACCUUUUUCCUGUUUCAGGUAAGUAUUUUUUUUGCUUUUUGUUUAAAUAUACCCAUUUUGUAGUAUACGUUGUAUUACAUUUGGACUCUUUUCUUCACUUGUGUUUUUAUAUUUUUUGUCAAUUCAUGCGUGUUCUAGAUAUGACUGAUCCUGUUUGGAACGUUUGCAAGAUGCGGUGCGGGAACUUCGGAGGCAAGUUCAUGACUUGCAGUGGAAGUUGGGCGUCGUGAGAGUAAGGAUGCUCCAAGAGAUUCGUAGACUGAGGAGGGCCCUGCUGCUGUCGGUUGACAAUUGGCCGGAUGACAAUAAUAAUAAUGACGAUAAUGAUAAUAAUAAUAAUAAUAAUAAUAAUUAGGUUAUGUUUUUUCUUU
rnacentral:lncRNA from 1 species